CACAUUGUUAUAUUGUUCCUUACCCAGGUACAGGCGGAGAUCUAUCAGAAUCUGGGGGGGCCCACCAUUCAGCUGGUAAAAGAGAGAACCCAGGCAGAAGAGGAGCAGCGUGGCCAUGCAGAAACCAUAAUCUCGCAGGGAGAAGCGCUGAGACACCAGGGACAGCCAGUACUUAUUUGCAGUACCGUGGACAUUGUUUUUGGGAACAUGAUGGUUACUGUUAUGGUAAUUAUUGCUGCUGCUGCUGUUCUUCUUCAUUAUAUGUCCUCCUUACACAGAUAGGCAGGAAGAGGUCACCCAUCCGCCUGAAGAUGACAAGGGCUGCUUUCUGGUUCAUUGGAGAAGUUGGACAGAGUUUUCGAGUGCUUUUUAAUUCAGGAGAUCUCCCUCUCCAUUGCUCUGACACUCGCUGCGUUAAAACAAAACAGGCUGCUACAGCAGGAUUCUUCCUUCUUCACUUUAAUUCUUCCCCCCGAGUUCUGAACGUUCUAUCUUCCUUUGGUAUUAACUCUGCUUCUCUCUGUCUCCCUCCCUCUCGCUAUCUGGCUCAAUCUCAGCCUGUCUCCUUGCUAUCCUAUUUUCCUUCUUCUUUCCCACUAUCUUCUCCUGCUCGGCCCUCCCCCGUUUCUCUCCUCCUUUCUUGCUCUUCUCACUCUCCACCUCUUUCCUCUCCAGGACUGUAGGGCAGCAUGAGGUGUGCACUCUGCAGCAGGC